rnacentral:rRNA from 1 species
AUACGGAGGAUGCGAGCGUUAUCCGGAUUUAUUGGGUUUAAAGGGAGCGUAGGCGGGAGCUUAAGUCAGCGGUUAAAUGGUGCGGCUCAACCGUGCCCUGCCGUUGAAACUGGGUUUCUUGAGAGUGCAAGAGGCGGAUGGAAUUCAUGGUGUAGCGGUGAAAUGCUUAGAUAUCAUGAAGAACUCCGAUUGCGAAGGCAGUCCGCUGGGGCACGUCUGACGCUGAUGCUCGAAGGUGCGGGAAUCAAACAGGAUUAGAUACCCUGGUAGUCCGCACGGUAAACGAUGAUUACCCGCUGUCGGCGGCAGACAGUCGGCGGCCAAGCGAAAGUGAUAAGUAAUCCACCUGGGGAGUACGCCGGCAACGGUGAAACUCAAAGGAAUUGACGGGG